GGGCGUAAAGAGCUCGUAGGCGGUUUGUCGCGUCUGCUGUGAAAAUCCAAGGCUCAACCUUGGACCUGCAGUGGGUACGGGCAGACUAGAGUGCGGUAGGGGAGAUGGGAAUUCCUGGUGUAGCGGUGGAAUGCGCAGAUAUCAGGAGGAACACCAAUGGCGAAGGCACAUCUCUGGGCCGUAACUGACGCUGAGGAGCGAAAGCGUGGGGAGCGAACAGGAUUAGAUACCCUGGUAGUCCACGCCGUAAACGGUGGGUGCUAGUUGUGGGCCACAUUCCACGUGGUCCGUGACGAAGUUAACACAUUAAGCACCCCGCCUGGGGAGUACGGUCGCAAGACUAAAACUCAAAGGAAUUGACGGGGGCCCGCACAAGCGGCGGAGCAUGCGGAUUAAUUCGAUGCAACGCGAAGAACCUUACCAAGGCUUGACAUAUAGAGGAAACGUGCAGAAAUGUACGCCCCGCAAGGUCUCUAUACAGGUGGUGCAUGGUUGUCGUCAGCUCGUGUCGUGAGAUGUUGGGUUAAGUCCCGCAACGAGCGCAACCCUCGUCCUAUGUUGCCAGCACGUAAUGGUGGGAACUCAUGGGAGACUGCCGGGGUCAACUCGGAGGAAGGUAAU
rnacentral:rRNA from 1 species